AAUCUAGUGUAUAACUGGAAUGACACUACAGAUCAGUGAGGAAAGAAUGGGUUGCUCAAUAAAUGAUGUUAUGAUCAUUUUUUUUCCAUGUGGACAACAACGACACAAGAAAGCAUACACAAAAAUAAAUAAAAGGGAAAAAAGAUGUAGAUAUGGAAACCACAAACUUAAGACUUUGGGGAAAAAUAUAGAAUAUUUCUAUGAGCUUGGAGAAGGAAAAAAAUGAUGAAAACAAGACCCAAAAAGAAAAAAUGUAAAUGAAAAUAGGAAAGUUAACGGAGUUAAAAUUAAUAACACUUCUUAAUCAAAAGAUUCCUAAAUGCAAAGAUAAGCAAAAAGGAAAAGCCUGCCUCCCCACAAAGCAGUGGUAAAACAUACGACACACACACACUCACACACUGUACACGCUUAUGUGUACACACCAUCCCUAAAAAUAUCCCUGAACGGGGGCACCCAGAGAUAUGUCCAAGUAUAUUCAAAGAACCAUUAUCUGUACUGAGCUACUAUUACAACUUUUAACACAGAUGAAGCCCUGAUACAAAAAAUUUAAUGAAAAUGCAAGAUGCAGGAUACACAUAAUAUGGUUUACAUAAAGAUAAAGAAAUAACAAAAGUAUACUGUAUAUGGUUGAGAAUAGCCCGGGCUGACUAUAUAAUUUUUGGGCUCAGUGCAAAAUGAAAGUGUGGGAUCCCUUUGUUCCAAAAGCAGGGGAAAAGCUUUUUUCUUUCUUUCAUGGUCUCUCUCUAUAGAUAAUGGCCAUAGUAUCUUGACAAUUCAUAGAAAAAGAAAGUAUAUUAACUCCAAACAUUUGCAAAAGCACUCAACUUACAAAAUAUGCAAAGAAACCAUUUUUUACCCAUUGGAUUGACAAAUAUAAAAAAAUUGAUAACACACUGUCUUACCAAGACACUCUCAAAUAGUGCUAAUGGAGAAAUGAAAGGACACAGCCAUUUUCAAAAAUAAUUUGUCAAUAUCUUUCAAAAUUUCACGUCAAAAACCCUUUGAUUCUAUGGGAACUUCUCCUACAUGCUUGAAAUUAUACGUAUAAAAGGAUGUUAAUUGCAGCGUUUUAUAAUUCCAAAAGAUUGGAAAUACCCUAACUAGCCUAAAGCAAGAGAGAGGCCAUAUCUGGGUCUUUGGAAGGAUAAUGGAAUGAUAUAUUAAGCAACCAUUAAAAUAUUGAGGUAGGUCUGUCUGUGCUAAUAAAUGAUCACCAACAUAUAUUGUUGAGUGAAAAAAUAAAAAGAAUGUUUUGCAAAAGAAUGUGACUAAUAUGCUAUCAUAUUUGUUGGAGAGUAAAGAGUGAGGGGAGAGAGAGACAGAGACAGAGAAUAUUUUUUCAUAUAUAUGUACUGUUGUUUGAUGUUUGCGCCUCUCCAAAUUCAUGUUGAAAGUCCCCAGUGCAACACUGUUAAGAGCUGGGUCCUUUAGGAGGUGAUUUAUAAAGGAUUGGUGUCCUUAUGAAAGUGACUGAGGGAGAGAGUUCAUCCUUUUUGCCCUUCCACCAUGUGGGGACACAGAAAGAAGAUGCCAUCUUGGAAGGAGAGAGCAAGUCUUCACCAGACACUACAGCUGUCGGCACCUUGAUGCUGGACUUCCCAGCCUCUAGAAUUGUCAGAAAUGAAUUUCCAUUGUUUAUAAAUUACCCAGUCUAAGGUAUUUUGUUAUAGCAACCAGAGUAGACUAAGACAACACACCUCUUCUGAAAUGAUAGAGUGGGUAACAGUGAUUGUUCUUUAGGAAGGAAACCAGGACUUUAAAAAAACUUUGUGCACUUAACAUUUUAAUUUGUGUCCACACACUACCUUUUAAAACAAUUUUUUUUAAAGUCAAAGUUUACAUUAUGUGCUUACAUGAUUGCCAGUUUAUUAUCAAUGAAAAGCUACAAUAUUAUUUCAACAACAGAUAAUUAUUAAGAAAUAAGAGGACCCCAGUGUGCCUGCUGAACAAAGAGAGAAGGACAUUUUGGAGAACAUAAAACAUUCUACAUUGGCUUUUGAUGUGUCCGAAGUGAAACAUACAUACUCCCCAGAGCAAGGACAUAGGUCCAGGUCGUAGAUUCUGCUAUCAGGAUCUCCUCAUCCAUGGAUCAGCACACAGCCCUAGGCCUACCUACCAUCUCUUAAGAGGGAACUGCACAAGACACUUCAUUCUCUUUAAUCUGCUCUACCCUGUCAUAUACCGUUGUUUAUGAUGCUAACAAUUACGAUGGUGCAAUAGCACACUCAGUGACUCAUCAGCGCCCGCCUUCCAGAGGCACUCAGCUUUCACAUACGCGGCUGGAGUGCAGUGGUGUGAUCAUAGCUCACUGCAACCUCAAAUUCCUGAGCUCAACGGAUCCUCCCUCCUCAGCCUCUUCAGUAGCUGGGACUACAAGCACGCCAAACUGUGUACUUCUAUCAUAGGUCCUCUCAAUACCUGAAGAUGAUUGACUGAAUUCUGGGGGUGACUACACUUCCUUUGGGAAGACAGCUCCUAGUUCUCCUGUGCAUGGGAAUCCCUUCUGAAAAUGUAAUUGCCUGUCAUCAAGAAAAGAAAGAAGUCCUCUGUCAUACCCACUCCCCUUCUUUUUGAGGAAAAGAUCCUUUACUAUUGUGGGCAAAAAGGGACUCGCCCCUUGAUCCAUAUCCAUAUUCCCAUUGAGCCCUGUAGGGAAGAUUCACCUCGAGAGGAGUGGAGGAUAUCCAUGAGCAAACAUGGCAGCCGACUGGCAGUUUCAAAGGGGCCUUGAAAAUAAAUCUAUUUCUAUUUCGCCCUUCAUGAUAUGUGAUGUAGGAGUGCUUUCCAACUACUCUCUGUUGCCACACUGAUGGUUGAUGACAUUUAUAUACAUAGCACCAUCAUUCAUUCAUAUCAGACAUAUCCAUGGAGCACCUGCGAUGUGUCAGGUGCUUUUUUAGGCACCAGCAAUACAACAGAGAACAACUAGACAAUAAUUAAUCCCCUUGAGAAUUUACAUUUCAGUAAUGCAGACAGGUAAAAGAUAAGUAAGACACAUAUAUACAUUUAAAUUAUAAGUAUUUAUUUAAUUAUUGCUGAAAACAGCAGUACAUUGGAAAACAAGAAAAAAUCAUGUAAAAUAAUAUAAAAAUAGGAAAAAUGAUUCAAAAUAAGAUUACAAAUAUUAAAGACAAAGCAGUUUCAUCAUUGUCUAAGUGAUUGAUAUGGUUUGGCUGUGUCCUCACCCAAAUCUCAACUUGAAUUGUAUCUCCCAGAAUUCCCACGUGUUGUGGGACGGACCCGGGCGAGGUAAUUGGAUCAUGGGGGCCGAUCUUUCCCAUGCUGUUUUCAUGAUAGUGAAUAAGUCUCACGAGAUCUGAUAGGUUUAUCAGGGCUUUCCACCUUUGCUUCUUCCUCACUUUCUCUUGCUGCCACCAUGUAAGAAGUGCCUUUCACCUCCCGCCAUGAUUCUGAGGCCUCCCCAGUCCUGUGGAACUGUAAGUCCAAUUAAACCUCUUUUUCUCCCCAGUCUCAGGUAUGUCUUAAUCAGCAGCAUGAAAAUGGACUAAUACAGUGACAUAUCCAAAAAUAAUAAUAGAACAAACAGUACAUGGGUUCAGUACAUUAUUACAAAAUGUUCUUAAAAUAGUCUUGAAUAUUUGAAAAGUUAGUGCAUUUCAAGGAUAAAGAAAAUAUCCCAUGGAAAAUUUCUGUGGAAAACUCAAAGUAUUUACAAAAUUUUAGAAAAAAACAUUCUCUUAAACUUGUUCAUAAUUAUAUUUAAUGUCCAGAGUGUACAAAACUUUGUUAUAAACCCAAGAAAUUUUGUCCAUAGCUAAGUUGUCCUUUGGGUCAGGAAUACAAGUACUAUCACCCAGACAUUCUCGAACAUGAGAGAAGGCAUUCUCCAUGAGCCUCACUUGAAAAAUACUCGAGAUCUGAGGACAGUAUCUUUUCAACCAUAAGUGAAUCAGAAUAGAUAAAAAUCAAAAAUGAAAAAGCUAUGGUAAAAGACCUGACAGUCAACAUAGAAUCUAUUUAUUAAAUUCUAUAAAAAAGAUGGAAUUAUGAGGACAAAACAUAACGUAUAUGUAAAAACUGGAGAGUUAAGAGAAGGAGAGGCAGGAUAAGUACAAGGGGAUUAAUUUUCUCACAUUAAUAGUGGGAAGUCAAUUGAUAUGGCCUGACACUGAAAAACACAACCAAAUACACAUUCACAUCAUGAUUUGAAACUCAUGUUGUUUUUCAUUAUCUUCCUUUAAACUUGGAGAAAUAUUUUAGAAACUCAUAGCACUCAUGGUGAACAAAUGUUUUCUUCUAUUACGUAAUAGGAUCUUAUUUUAGAAAAUUAUGCCUAAUCAUCUUGAUCUCUGCAUAAAUGCAUAGAAAAAUAACACAGAUAAUGUUCACCAGAUGUAGGAAGUGAUUAUUUCUGGGUGGCAGGAUUUGGAAUAAUUUUUAACUUGCCUCCUUUAAUUUUUCUAUAUUGUUUGACUAGUCAUAAUGAGUACAUACAAUUUUUUAUGUGAAAACAAUUAAUUUACAAAAGACAUGCCUAUAAUUCUUUAUUCAAAAUCCUUGGGACGAGAUAUAUUUCAAAGUUAGAAUUUUUCAAAGUUUAGAAAAAUAAUAGGGUGCUUAUGGAACAUCCUUUGAGAGUCUGGGCCAGCAUCCCCAAAUCAAGCAUGUUAAUAUCACUAGGGCAAAAAUAAGAAUAUUCAUACAAAAAAAUUAUGACUAUAAUUAACUUUUCUAAUGUCAGUUCAGGUCAGGAGUUAUCAAACUGAUAAAUGAUCAUGAUUUUUAGGCAAAUCAACAAAAAUGUUUUUACUUUCAGGGCUCUUUGAUUAUAUUUAAUAGUUUUAUGGAUAAGGAAAUAUGGAUCAUCAUGCAACAGUUACCCAUUUUUCAGGGUUUUGCUUUCUUUGGCUUUGGUUUCCUGUAGUCAAUCAUGUUCUGAAAAUAGGCGAGUACAGUACAAUCAAAUGUUUUGAGACAGAUUACAUUUACAUAACUUUUAUUACAGUAUAUUGCUAUAAUUGCUUUAUACUAUUACAGUCAUGUAAUAAUAUAAAGUCAUGGACCACAUAUAUCAUGGUGGUCCCAUAAGAUUUAUAAUGAAGCUGAAAAACUUCUAUUAUCUAGUGAUGCUUUGAUGAUCUGUACCCUGUGUAAGUCUAGGAUAAUAUGUGUGUUAGUGCCUUAGUUUUUAACAAAAAAGUUUAACAUUAAAAAAAAAUUAACAACAAAACAAUUUAUAGGAUAAGGAUAUGAAGAAAUAAAUUAUUUUUGUACAGCCAUAUAAUGUGUUUGUGUUUUAAGCAUUUAUUACAAGGGUUAAAAUGUUAAAAAAAAUUUUAAAGUUUGUAAAGUGAAAGUUACAGUAAGGUAAAGAUUAAUUUAUUAUUGAAGAAAUUUUAAAAAUAAGUUUAGUGUAGCCUGAGUGUACAGUAUUUAUAGAGUCUACAGUCACGUACAGUAAUGUCCUAGGCCUUUACAUUCACUCACCAUUCACUCACUGACUCACCCAGAGCAACUUCCAGCCCUGCAAGUUCCAUUCAUGGUAAGUGCCCUAUACAGGUGGACCAUUUUAAAUCUUUUAUACGCUAUUUUUACUGUACCUUUUCUAUGUUUAGUUACACAAAUACUUACCAUUAUGUUACAGUUGUCUACAGUGUUGGGUGCAGUAACAUGCUGUACAGGUUCGUAGCCUAUGAGUAGUAGGCUACACAUAUAGCCUAGAUGUGUAGCAGGCUAUACCAUCAAGAUCUGUGUAAGUAUACUCUACAGUGUUCGCAAAAUGAUGAAGUUGCCUAACGACAAGCGUCUCUGAACAUAUCCCCAUCAUUAACAAUGCAUCACUGUAUUAGUUACUAUUGUUAAUCUCUCACUGUGCCUAAUUUAUACAUUUAUGAAUUAAACUUUACCAUAGGAAAAA
rnacentral:lncRNA from 1 species